UUCCACCCCACCUCUCUUCCCCACUUCUCUCUCACCCUCUCUAUUUGCCCCUUUCCUCUCUCUCUUUAUAUUUAUUUCCCACCCCUAUCCCCCUCCCCCACCCCAUCCUCCCCUCUCUCUCUCCUCCUCGUUUUAUUUAUCCAUCUGGGAACCUUCUCCUACGCUCCAUCCGACGACCCACAGGCGCCCACGUCCUCGUCGUCUUCUUCGCCCGCCCCCCACGCCCCGUCACCCCCUUUCUAUAAAUACCCGCCCCGCCCUUAUCCCCGUCUCCGCUUUGGCUUUCUAGGGUUUCCACUAAUACGGCGAGACCUGGUGGAAUUCUUCGAUUUGGACGGCGGAAUCCCUCGCGUUCGCGCCCUUUCGGUCUUUCUUGAUGGGGAAAGAUUGAGGAAUCUGUGGUCGGUUGGUGUUUUCUUGGGGUGCCAUGGCGAUUAUGAAGAAUAGCCUUAGGGUUUCGAGGCUGGACGGUGAUUCCUCGCCGGGGAGUCGGGGCAGUGUGUCGAGUGAGGAGGACGAAGAGGAGGUCCGGACUCGGAGUUCGGCGUCGGAGACUGAUGGUGCCGAUGUCUCGGAUGUCGACUCUGGGAUGGGAUCCGACGAGUUCGAUAUUUCCGAGCUUGCUGAGGCCGGGACUGAGUUAUGCCAAGUGGGGAACCAGAGCUGCAGCAUCCCGCUGGAGCUCUAUGAUCUUCCUGACUUGGGGACGGUCCUCUCGCUGGAGACCUGGAACGACUGCCUCUCUGAGGAGGAGCGGUUUGCCUUGGCUGAGUACCUCCCUGAUAUGGACCAGGAGACGUUUGGCCGGACUCUGAAGGAGCUGUUCUCGGCGCAAAACGUCCACUUUGGGAGCCCGCUUGUCGAGCUGUUCAAUCGGCUGAAAGCCGGGCUUUGUGACCCGAGGAUUGUUCUUUACCGCCGGGGAGUGAACUUCUUUCAGAGGCGCCAGCACUACCAUUACCUGUGCAAGUAUCAGAAUGCUAUGGUGGGAAGCCUUUUCCGGAUAAGGGAUGCUUGGCAGAAUUGUGCAGGGUAUGGCAUCGAAGAAAGGCUUCGGCUGUUGAAUAUUCUGAGGAGCCAGAGGCCUUUGUGUUAUGAGAGGGAUGGAGACAUGGAGUCUGAGACGGAUUCAGAGAGUGGGGAUUCAGGUGAUCGUUACUGGAAUAAAAGGUUUAAAAUGGAUCGGCGGGCAGUGCAGUCAUCAAGGCUUUCCUUUGAUAUCAUGUCUCGUGGGAGUGGUAUGCCUAUGGAGCAGAUGAAGAUUGGGAAAGAAAACUCAAAGGGGGUGCUGAAGGUUGCCGCUCCCAAAGUCUCUGCCCAAAAGGAGUACUUGGGAGCAGCAGGUCAGUAUCCCUCUGCUGCUAAGCAUAGUGCGGAGGCAAAGACUAGAAUGCCCAUGUCGCUGUUAUCUCUUCCCUGGCAGGAUCAAGUUGCAGACUAUGAUUUGGGGAAUUCUCAAAGGCCUAGACAUCAGAUGAGUGAUGAUCAGGAUGAUUUUGAGGAGAAGGGUUAUGAGAUGGGCUUGCAGGGAGGCUGGAAUGCACUUUGUGGAAAUGCGGCAACCAGGGCUAACUUGCUGAAACUAGGAAAGAAGAAUGAAUUGCGAAAAAGAGAUGGCAGAGGUAUAUUUGGCGAUGACGGCCCUGAUGGUUAUGAUAGGUUGCCUCAUUAUCAAGGUAGGAGUAGGAAUUCUGAUCAGGCGGUCACUAUAGCUUCUUAUGAUCAUCGAUCCCUUGAUACCCUGAAGAAGUAUUCUGAGGAGAGGACAUAUCCGGCCAGAGAGCGGCCUCAGCAUCAACCUCUGAAAGGAAGUCAGGUGGACCAGUCAGCUGGCAGUCACCCCUUUCAGCAUAACAAAAUGCUUGAAGAAGCCAUUUCCAUGGACAGAGGCAAGAAAUGGAAGGUUAGGGAUGGGAAUAAAACUGGCAAAAGUAGAGUUGGACACUAUUCCAAGAUCAAGUCUUAUAAAACUACCCCAGCACAGAUGGAUGAUUCAUACUUCCACUCUGAUCUUAGAGCCAAAACAUUACAAGGAAAGAUCAAGAAUAAGUCUCCUCAGUAUGAGGGAAUGGGUAUGAACGAUGCAAGGGGCUCUACGAUGUACUCCCAAAGUGAGGAGACGGAAUCCGAUUCAUCAGACCAGGUUGAGGAAGAUGGAGGUACUAAUCAUUCAGUGAGGAAGUUGGGGCAUUUAAGUGGUGACCUGGAGGUCUAUCACUUAGGAGUUGCUAAAUCAUUGUCUGAUUCUAAAAAGGUCAACAAGCUCACGAAGAUGGAUCAAAAAGUGUAUUCCCAUUUUGCUGACAGAGCCACAAGCAUUUGCACAAAAGAAGUAGAACCUUAUGCUACAAAAGGGAAGCACAAGGGCAAAACGAAUGAGCCCAAUUACUUGUCUGAUGUUAAAUUGAAGAAGAAGGGCCAAAUUCCAAAGUCCAAUGAGAAGUUACAGCCAUCAUUACUCAAGAUGUAUAAUACAGAGAAGAAGCGUAAGGGAAUGAUUGAUCUGGAAACUUCUUCACAGAAGCCAGUUUAUUUGCGUGAUUAUGGCAGGGGCAUGUUGGCUGAGCAUAAGGAGAAUUUGGAUGGAAGUUCCAGGUUACUGGGUAACCAGAUGCGAGUUUACAAAUCAGGGAAAGGAAAGCAACCUUCUGAUGCUCUUACAAUUGAGGCCAAUCAUUAUGAAAGACCAAACAUGUCCCUGUUAGAAUGCAACUCUGUGAAGAAGAAAACAAAAGUGAAGGCUGAAGGUAUGUGUGUUGACGAGCCAGAUGAACCUCUUUACCAACAGUCUAGUCCAAAGCAGCAAAUUGAUGACCACAAUGUCAAGAAGAAGAAGGGAAAAAGAAAAGCAGAUGCUGCAUCUGAUUCUUUGAUUGUGGCAACUUCUGAGCCGGUCAUUCCAGAAAAAGGAACAGCAGACAUAGAGCCAGAGGGAGAGUUGCAAAAGAAACCAUUUACCCUGAUCACACCUACAAUUCACACUGGUUUUUCAUUUUCCAUCAUACAUCUUCUUUCAGCUGUCCGAAAAGCAAUGGUUACUCCUCAUGCAGAAGAUUUGACAGUUAUUGGAAAUCAUCAUGAAAAGAAUGUCGGUAGACUGAUGAGAGAAGAGCAGAACAAUUUGCUUCAAGUGGCCAAUGGCACACAGGUGCUCCAUUCUCAUGAAAACAUGGACGGAUAUACUUCAGAGCAUGCUGGUCAGAAUAAGUUACCUUCUCUUACAGUUCAAGAGAUUGUCAAUCAUGUUAGAUCGAAUCCAGGAGAUCCAUGCAUUCUCGAAACACAGGAACCACUUCAGGAUUUAGUCCGUGGUGUACUGAAAAUAUUUUCCUCUAAGACAGCACCUCUAGGAGCAAAGGGUUGGAAGGCGCUUGUAUUCUAUGAGAAAUCAAACAAAAGUUGGAUGUGGAUUAGUCCGGUUACUACUAGUUCAUCUGAUAAUGAUACUGUUGAAGAGACCUCUGCCGAAGCUUGGGGCAUUCCCCACAAGAUGCUGGUGAAGUUGGUUGAUGCAUUUGCUAAUUGGCUAAAAUCUGGGCAGAAGACCCUUCAGCAGAUAGGAAGUCUUCCAGCGCCUCCAAUAUCAAUGUUGUCAAACUUGGAUGAGAAGGAGAGGUUCAAAGAUUUAAGAGCCCAGAAGAGUCUAAAUACUAUUAGCCCGAGCUCUGAUGAAGUGAGGGCAUAUUUCCGUAAAGAGGAACUUCUAAGAUAUUCUAUUCCAGAUCGGGCCUUCUCUUACACUGCUGCUGAUGGGAAAAAAUCUAUUGUUGCUCCACUAAGAAGGGGUGGUGGCAAGCCAACAUCAAAAGCUCGGGAUCAUUUUAUGCUUAAGCAUGAUCGCCCACCUCAUGUUACUAUUCUUUGUCUUGUACGUGAUGCAGCUGCCAGAUUGCCUGGGAGUAUUGGAACUAGAGCAGAUGUUUGUACUCUUAUCAGGGAUUCACAAUAUAUUGUUGAAGAUGUCUCUGAUGCACAGGUCAACCAAGUUGUUAGCGGGGCUUUAGACCGGCUGCAUUAUGAACGUGAUCCUUGUGUGCAGUUUGACGGGGAUAGAAAAUUGUGGGUUUAUCUGCAUAGAGACAGGGAGGAGGAAGAAUUUGAGGACGAUGGUACCUCUUCCACUAAGAAAUGGAAAAGGCCAAGAAAAGAUGCUACAGAUCAGUCAGACAUGGGAACAGUUAAUGAUGGGAGCUAUCAUGCAUCUGGAGAUCCAGCUAUGGGUGGUUCUACUGCCAGAUAUCAUUAUGAUCCUGAUCUUAAUAAUAUUAAGUCAUCAUCCAUCAAAGCAGGGGAGAAACCUGAACUUUAUAAUGAUUUGAGGCCCGAUGUGGAGAAUAUCCAGUCUUUUGUUGAUUCUAAACCAGGUACCAGGAACCAAAGCAAUUCACUGAGUUGGGAGGCUCCUGGGUUGAAUCUCCUAGAGGAAAACAAAAUGGUAUGUCAAGAGAACUCCAUGAAUGAAGAUUUUGAUGAUGAAGCUUUUAGCAGAGAAAAGCCAGUUGGGCUCAUGAGUACAAGCUUGUUAUGAAGAAUGGAUGUUCCAUACUCAACAUUUUCAUGUUCCUUGCAGGAUAAAUCUAGGUAAUCCUGAAUUGUGGAUAUGAACUUUGGAUGGAAAAUUGCCACGAGAUUUAAUUCUUUCUUAUUGUGCUACCUUUUUGUUGGAAAUAGUUGAGACAUUGUGGUUAAAAAUGUGGAAAUGUCAUAGAAUGGAAUGUUGUUUGAUACUUACUGACUUCGAAAAAUAAUAUCAUACAAUAUUUUUAUAACUAUAGAGAGUAUGUAGGUCUCUAGCUGAUAUAGCCAAUCAAAGCCAAGAUAUGUGGUUGGCAAGUGACAUAACUUCUUGUUUGAUGAUGAGAAAGGAAAAAUUGGGUUAAUGUGUGACCAUCUAUAUGCAGAAUAUGAUUCUAUGAAACAGGAAACCAUCACGAACAUGUUGUUGUUUUGCCUUGUGAUUAAGGGGACUCACCCUCAUACUUAUCUACAAAUCAUUGUUAAUACUCCCAUAUCUGUUGGAGUGAUACAGGAGAUGGUGUUCAAGUUGGUCCCGUUUACAAGCUGAUGGAAAAUACAGCAGGGAGUAAUUUUGAUUGGUGGAUGCUAUCAUUGGAGACAUGGAGAGCUUGCUAAUUAUAAGUCCAUCAUUCCCUUUGCUUUUGUGUCACCUUAAAUUUAUCUUCAAUAAAUAUGAGAUAAGAAGUCUGGAAAGGGGAGACCAUAAUUAGAACAGAUAUUACAAGAAUAUACAGAAGGGUGCCUGGAUAAUAUCCUUUUAACACUGCAUGAACUCUCCAUGAGUUUCUGUUAACUAUAUCUUUUAUGGUGUCCAUAGCCCUCUUUUAACUAGCAUUAGGUGCCUCUUGGUAAAAUUUAAUCAUAGCCAACAUGCUUCCUUGCAUCCAUAUAUCAUCAUCUUAACAUAUGAGUAUAUGGUCCUUGGAAGUUAAGAAUGCUUUAUCAUUCACCUCUUAACAUAUGUGAACCCUAUGUUAAAUUUUUGGCUAAGACAACUUUGGAGAGAGAAGGCCUCUCAUGUAACUGAGGAGGGUAGUUUCAAGAAUGAGUGACCUACCACUGCUUCCAAAAUAGGAAGCAGCCUUUAAAGUCCCAGACUUGGAAAGUAUCUAAUAGGAAGAGGGAAGAUUAUACAGUUUGGAGAGAGAAGGCCUCUCAUGUAACUAAGGAGGGUAGUUUCAAGCAGGGUCAGAGGAACCGAUACCGGGCACUGUACCGGUUCUCCAGCAGAACGAGUUGGUAUGGGCCGUCCCAGGCCCGUACCGAGAGAGAGCACCUGCCGGAGAUGGAGGAGAAAAGAAAGAGAGAGCGAGCGAGGUAGGGAGGGAAAAGGAGCAACGGCGGACGUCGGUGGAGGGCCGCGGGGGGCAACGGAGGCCAUGGCAGCUGAGGCCGCAGUUUCAAAAUAGGGGAAUUGGCUGCGGCUAAAAAAUUUGAAGAUUUUUAAGUGAAGGCAUUUUUUUUAAAAAUCUCAAAUUUUUUUAAUUUUCGGAUUUUAAGUGAAGUCAGUAAACAAUUUGCCGACUUCACUUAAAAAUUUUCAAAUCUUUUAGCUGCGGUCGGUUUUCCUAUUUCGAAAGAAAUAGAGGACUUGGCCGCGGCCUCCGCUGGCAUCCGCUGCCGUUCUCUUCUCCUUCUCUAACACUGGCAGCGUGCUGGUUUUAAAGCCGAAACCGUACCGGUGAGCCAUUGGUAUGGAUCGGAAUCGGCGGAACCGUCCGGUUCGGGACCGUUCCGCAAUCCAUGGUUUCAAGAAUAAGUGACCUACCUCUGCUUCCAAAAUUUGAGCUCGUGCAAUGGUGCAACCUUCAAAGUCCCAAACUUGGAAAGUAUCUAAUAGAAAAAGGGAAGUAUAUACAGUUUGACAUAUGGGACUAAA